rnacentral:tRNA from 1 species
UUUAGCUCAGUGGUAGAGCGUAUGCUUAGCAUGCAUGAGGUCCCUGGUUCAAUCCCCAGUAA